AGGGGCUUAGGUAUGACCUAGACCAAGGGCCUUCAAAGCCCUAAGCGGGAGUUAAACCCUCCUAGUCCCUG
rnacentral:tRNA from 1 species